rnacentral:rRNA from 1 species
UACGGAGGGUGCGAGCGUUAAUCGGAAUUACUGGGCGUAAAGCGCGCGUAGGUGGCUAGAUAAGUCGGAUGUGAAAGCCCCGGGCUUAACCUGGGAACUGCAUUCGAUACUGUCUGACUAGAGUAUGGUAGAGGAAAGCGGAAUUCCCGGUGUAGCGGUGAAAUGCGUAGAUAUCGGGAGGAACAUCAGUGGCGAAGGCGGCUUUCUGGACCAAUACUGACGCUGAGGCGCGAAAGCGUGGGUAG